rnacentral:rRNA from 1 species
GAGUACACGUUGGAACCUGCCCCAAAGUGAGGAAUAAGCCACCGAAAGGUGGUCUAAUACUUCAUAAUAUCCAUCUCGUAUGGAUUAAAGCUUUAUGCGCUUUGGGAGGGGCCUGCGUAACAUUAGCUUGUUGGUGAGGUAAAAGCUCACCAAGGCUUCGAUGUUUAACUGGUUUGAGAGGAUGACCAGUCACACUGGGACUGAGAUACGGCCCAGACUCCUACGGGAGGCAGCAGUAAGGAAUCUUCCACAAUGGGGCAACCCUGAUGGAGCAAUACCGCGUGCAGGAUGAAGCGUUUCGGCGUGUAAACUGCUUUUAUCACCGAAGAUUAUGACUGUAGGUGAAGAAUAAGGACCGGCUAACUACGUG